AGUGAACGCUGGCGGUAGGCCUAACACAUGCAAGUCGAACGGCAGCACAGAGGAGCUUGCUCCUUGGGUGGCGAGUGGCGGACGGGUGAGGAAUACAUCGGAAUCUACUCUGUCGUGGGGGAUAACGUAGGGAAACUUACGCUAAUACCGCAUACGACCUACGGGUGAAAGCAGGGGAUCUUCGGACCUUGCGCGAUUGAAUGAGCCGAUGUCGGAUUAGCUAGUUGGCGGGGUAAAGGCCCACCAAGGCGACGAUCCGUAGCUGGUCUGAGAGGAUUAGCAGCCACACUGGAACUGAGACGCGGUCCAGACUCCUACGGGAGGCAGCAGUGGGGAAUAUUGGACAAUGGGCGCAAGCCUGAUCCAGCCAUACCGCGUGGGUGAAGAAGGCCUUCGGGUUGUAAAGCCCUUUUGUUGGGAAAGAAAUCCAUCUGGUUAAUACCCGGGUGGGAUGACGGUACCCAAAGAAUAAGCACCGGCUAACUUCGUGCCAGCCGCCGCCGUAA
rnacentral:rRNA from 1 species